UCUUUAAAAGGAAUUCAAUGUAGAACAGUGGAAGACACAUAGUCUAAGAGUAACCUUUCCCUUCUACUCUGGUAUCAAUUCACUAAGGCAAGGUAUCACCAAAAAAAAUCAAUGGUGGGAAUCGAUAACUUUGGGUGCGGGAUUAUCGACUCCCAGGAUUUUGAGGCCACUGAUGCUGUCGUAUCGGCUGUAAAGUUGGCUCCUGUUGACAACAUCGUUGUUGAUGACGGACCAACAAAUCUGAAUCUGGAGCUAACCAUGAAUGUGGGCGCUAUAGACAGCCCGAGUGAAAACCUCACGGAAGAUUCCAAGGUCCCACAUGAUGACUUAAUUUAGAUGGCAGUUAGGCUACUAGAGGUUCAUCGUUAACCCAUUUAAUUUUUUCCAUUUACAAAUGCUUUAACUUUAAGGCUGGAUAGCUUUUCGAUAGACGACCCACGCAUGACAUGUGCCUGGGAUUGGAACAAAGGCAGCAAAUUUUGUCUUGGGUUAAGUAAAGUUAAGGGUGUGCCCCACAUGCCGUGGUCCUGUAUUCGUCCAUUGUGUGUUAAUAAAAACAUAAUGAGACUGAAACUAUAUUUUGCACAAGCCACUUUUCAAAUGAUUUGCAUGUAACACGUUUUAAACCUAGACUAAUGUUCCUUACUGAUGUCGAAAGUUUCUUCUUUUUUUGCACCAUAGCCAUAGAAGAUCGACUCCAGGAUAGUCACUUUGGAAGAACGGAUGUCAGCACUGGAACGACCAAUGUUACACACCAAAGUAACGUUAACAGAGCUGCAAUCGUUACUAACGAAACAAAUGAAGAGUCAAAAUACGUCGGGGAGUAUGGUAUCCAUAGCAGCAGUUACCAACCCUAAUCUUGGUGGGACCAUGUUGGAGUUAAUUUAGCCCACAACAAUUCAUUCGACAACUGCAGCGACUACUCGUUUCAGCUCACGAACGCCAACCGAAAAGAUGGUGGAAAAAGGAAAGGGGGUAUUGUUGGCCAGCAGCAACUCCUUGCUAGAUAUCAUUGUGCCGAACUCUCCCGAUUAUGAUGACGAUGUCAUAAUCAACGAGGCAUUUUUCACUCCGCGUCCCAUUACAGCGAAGACCCAGGCUGGAUCCCUGAAAGGGACCUUUGCACAGUAUUGGUGCUCUGGAGUGCCUAAAAGGACCACUAUAAAAGGUACCAUUACACAUGAAUCCGCAGCAGUUGCUAAUGAUAAGGUUUUAUGGACCUUUCGAACAUGUCUUAGUUUGACUGCACCAGUAAAGUCUGUGAAGUAUUCGCGUUACUGGAGAACUGCAACAAUCCAGUAAAGAAACCCAAAUUGAAACCCGUAGUGUCGAAAGCUAUAAACGCAGUAGGCCAACCUUUCAUUACUUAGCCCACACUAUCCGUUAUCACUGGCCAUGCCAACAUAAGUUCUCCUUCUCUGCAGUAUGGAAGUGGUUUUAGACCAUAUGGGAUGUCGAACAUAAUAGACUCCCCCCGUGUUACUAAUUCCACUGGCAAGUCAUGCACACACUCUAAAUGAAUCAUAUAUUACGCAUCAUGACGUACAUUUGUUGUUAGUAUUGAGUGGCUGAUGUGAUACUUUAUUUUUGAUUGUUUGAUUAGGGGUUUCAAAUGGUAUUCAGGCCAACUGUGCACAUGGAUUUGACUUAUGAUGAAUGCAAAAUGGCUACUUACAUUUAUGGAAAAACUGAUCAGUAUUUAUUAUGAACAUCAUGUUAAUGAGCGCUUCCAUGAAAGCUUGUUGUGUUCUUCCUCCUUGUGUUUGGUACACACCUUUCGUGUUUGUCGAUGACAUUCUUUUUCUGAGGCCGUUGGAAGUUAUAAUCAUGAAAUACCUGAACAGAUGGAUAUCGGUGACACCUAAGCUUGAACAUGUCUUUGUGCCGGUAUGCGAACAAACCUACACAUGGUACUUGAUGGUUGUGGACGUGAAGCGAGCCACAGUGUACUGCCUAGAUGUAACAAGAGCACCUGGAUACAAGGAACGGGGGGAGCGCAAUAUGCAAACUAUUCUACUUAUGCUAGCCCAGAUUUUCAAGCUAGACAUGAACCUAAAGAGUUUUGUCCAUGUUUCCACUGAUCCUACCACAUGAGGACCAGUACAGUAUCCUGAAGGAGUCCCAUGCGAUCCACAAUGGUAUACUUCAUAUUUACUAUCAAUUAUGAAGUGAAUUUAAACAAUGGUUUAUUUAGUGGAUUUGGUCAAAGUUAAUGACAUGGACAUAAUUUUUGGUUACGUAGUAAUGAUUCUUGUCUCUGGAUGUUGAACUGGCUCCAAACAGAGGGAAAAUUCACACUAGCGAACCUUUCUUGUCAAGUUUAUCUUCUAACUCAUUUUUUUAUUUUUUAAAUGAUAUAAUCUUCUUCUCACAACUAAUCUUGUGUUACUAAUGGAUGGAUCAUUUGAAAUUAAGGAUGAAGACCGCAACAAUAAUUGUUCUUUUGGACUGCAACGAGGUCAAGGCUGCAGUGGAGUCGAAGGCGGAGGGCGCUUGGACGAAGAUACUGCGCACUAAGGAGUUAUCCUCUAUCAUAUGAAAGAGAUUCAGCGACAUUUAUAUACAACAUAUUGAAAUAGGCUAAGUAUCAUUUUGGUGCCAAUAUCGUUUGAUGUCGUUGAUACCGUUAGGUUGUAUUUUGUUUUAUUGUUUACAUAAUCUUGUCUAAGAAUAUAGGCCUUAAUUACCUGCUGAUGGCUACUUUUGUGUGUGGAUACUAGUGGUCUUGUCGACAGGCUAGAGUACAAUCUCCACACUCCCCACUUACAUCUUCCUACUAUGUGAAGCUGGGUUACUAUAAGUUAAAUGGGGAUAUUGCCAAUACUAAAUAAAGUCUACUUGGUUGCCAUUUUAUGUAUUGUCGGUGAUGUAUGUGUAUCGAAUGAUGGAAAUCGUUUUGAA